GUGCACCAGGCGAGAAUACUUCACACUGUGCGAAAGCACGAUGAGGGAAUCCCAAGUGCUUGCACGUAAGUGUAAGCUGUUUCUCUGUCUAAAAACGCAGAGAGAGUAAGGGCUGGGUAAGACGGGUGCCAGCCGCCGCGGUAAUACCUGCAGCUCAAGUGGUGACCGUUAUUAUUGGGCCUAAAACGUCCGUAGCCGGUUUAAUAAAUGCCUGGGUAAAUUGUGUAGCUUAACUAUACGAAUUCCGGGUAGACUGUUAAACUUGAGACC
rnacentral:rRNA from 1 species